rnacentral:rRNA from 1 species
AACGAACGCUGGCGGCAGGCUUAACACAUGCAAGUCGAACGGAUCCUUCGGGAUUAGUGGCAGACGGGUGUGUAACGCGUGGGAACGUACCCUUUGCUACGGAAUAACUCAGGGACACUUGAGCUAAUACCGUAUGUGCCCUACGGGGGAAAGAUUUAUCGGCAAAGGAUCGGCCCGCGUUGGAUUAGCUAGUUGGUGGGGUAAUGGCCUACCAAGGCGACGAUCCAUAGCUGGUCUGAGAGGAUGAUCAGCCACACUGGGACUGAGACACGGCCUAGAAUCCUACGGGAGGCAGCAGUGGGGAAUAUUGGAAAAUGGGCGCAAGCCUGAUCCAGCCAUGCCGCGUGAGUGAUGAAGGUAUUAGGAUUGUAAAGCUCUUUCAACGGUGAAGAUAAUGACGGUAGCCGGAGAAGAAGCCCCGGCUAACUUCGUG